GGGAACCAGGCGUGGCAUUGCCAUGAAAGUGUUGUUCAUAAUGUUGGUACAUAAAAGAAAGAGUCGUCUUUUGUAACUCGUUGUAGAACUUAGGUCAUUUUACGAUUCUCUGAUGGAAAAAUGCAAUGAGGAUGAGAAGCCCGUAACGUUAACUUCGGGAUAGCAGUGCUAGUACCGUAGUUCUUGCUGUAAAAUUGACUAAUAGAAGUAUAAAGGGGAGGAAUUGCACAUGCAGGAACGCCCUGAAUUGUGCGUCGCAAUUACACCCUUCUAAACAAUUCCAUGAGGAGCGUUUGAAAAAUAAACACUUUAAUUGAACAAUUGAACAGUUGUUAAUUCUACAGGAUUAGCAUUGAAAGCGUGACUAGCGGUGGGGAAAUCAGAGGGAAGUCAGAGGACACUGAUGCCCCGGUCCCAUUUCACAGCAAGCAUCCAGACUGCCAAAAUCACAGUACCAGGGACUGCAAAGGGUGAGGGACCACACCAAUAACAUGGGUCACCCCUGCCACAACAACACCAUCAGACUCUGCCAACCCAUGGCCCAUGACACUCAGACCAAACAGGAAAUUCUGGAACUGUGCAGAUAAAACCAGAGGAUUCUGAUCUGGAGAGAGAGAAGCUGAAUAAGGAGAAGGAUGCUCUGCAGGUGACAACAGAGUUUAUGACGGUCAUAAUGGAGGAUGGAGGAUGGAGGAUGGAGGAGCAGCAGCAGCAGAGACCCUCAGGGAAGAACAACACUCUGAAAGCCAAAGACAAGCUACAGACCGGAGGGCCUCACAGCAAGGAGGAGCAUGACAGGAAAAUCAAAUGGAUCAAAACCGCGUGCUGCCUUCCACUGAAGAAGACUAAAUAACAGGCUGAGUUAUGACCCUAAGCUCUGAACUGUAGUACUGGAGAAAGGAGAUUGACCUCUGCUGAUGGUUUUGUAGUCUUGCUAUUGGUUGUGUUUAUAAAGACAUGAAUCAGCA